UACGUAGGGGGCAAGCGUUGUCCGGAUUCAUUGGGCGUAAAGAGCGUGUAGGCGGCCAGGUAGGUCCGUUGUGAAAACUCGAGGCUCAACCUCGAGACGUCGGCGGAAACCAUCUGGCUAGAGUCCGGAAGAGGAGAGUGGAAUUCCUGGUGUAGCGGUGAAAUGCGCAGAUAUCAGGAAGAACACCCGUGGCGAAGGCGGCUCUCUGGGACGGUACUGACGCUGAGACGCGAAAGCGUGGGGAGCGAACAGG
rnacentral:rRNA from 1 species